AACGGGGGGGGACAAGCGUUGUUCAUCAGGACUGGGGCGUAAAGGGUUCGUAGACGGCCAAGAGGAGGUUUGGAACGAAAACCAUUCGGCUUAACCAUUUGGUGUUUCUUCAUGUACUCUUGAUAGCUUUGAGUUUUGGGAGGUAGGAGGUACUUUGAGGGGAAAGGUAGAAUUUGUCGAACUUCAAGGGACCAGCAUUAGGCAGAGGCAUCUUACCACUGUUAACUGACGUUGAGGAACGAAAGUGUGGGGAUCGAAUAGG
rnacentral:rRNA from 1 species